AACGCGAAGAACCUUACCUGGGCUCGAACGGCUAUGGACAAUCCUUGGAAACAGGGACUUCUCGCAAGAGACUGUAGUCGAGGUGCUGCAUGGCUGUCGUCAGCUCGUGUCGUGAGAUGUUGGGUUAAGUCCCGCAACGAGCGCAACCCUUGUCCUGUGUUGCCAUCAUUUAGUUGGGCACUCUCAGGAGACCGCCAGCGAUAAGCUGGAGGAAGGUGGGGAUGAUGUCAAGUCAUCAUGGCCUUUAUGUCCAGGGCUACACACGUGCUACAAUGGCCGGUACAAAGCGCUGCAAACUCGCAAGAGGGAGCUAAUCGCAAAAAACCGGUCUCAGUUCGGAUCGCAGGCUGCAACUCGCCUGCGUGAAGCUGGAAUCGCUAGUAAUGCCGUAUCAGAACGAUGGCGUGAAUACGUUCCCGGGCCUUGUA
rnacentral:rRNA from 1 species